GGCCCGGCGGAGCGCGGUGCGGCUCGGUCGCCCACGCCGGCCGCUCGGCCGGCUCGGGCUCGACCGCGGGUUCCCGCCCCGGGCCGGGCUG
rnacentral:tRNA from 1 species